GACGAACGCUGGCGGUGUGCUUAACACAUGCAAGUGGUGCGACGAACCAGAGCUUGCUCUGGGGCAAAGCCGCGAACGGGUGAGUAACACGUGGGUAAUCUACCCCGAUGACCGGGACAACCCGAGGAAACUCGGGCUAAUACCGGAUGUGGUACGGAGACAUAAGUCUCUUUACUAAAAGGUAGCUUCGGCUUCCGCAUUGGGAGGGGCCCGCGGCCCAUUAGCUAGUUGGUGGGGUCAAGGCCUACCAAGGCAACGAUGGGUAGCUGGUCUGAGAGGACGAUCAGCCACACUGGGACUGAGACACGGCCCAGACUCCUACGGGAGGCAGCAGUGGGAAUCUUGCGCAAUGCGCGAAAGCGUGACGCAGCAACACCGCGUGAGGGAAGACGGCCUUAGGGUUGUAAACCUCUUUCAGAUGGGACGAAGGUGAUGCGGUGAAUAGCCGAUGUCAUUGACGGUACCGUCAGAAGAAGCUCCGGCU
rnacentral:rRNA from 1 species